CGUUGGCCUGUUACUUUCUUUUGUCAAGCCCAUCCCAUGCUGUAUCAACUUGGUCAUGAUGAAACGCAGCGUUUUCUUUAAGAGUUAGCGUGAGGUAGUCUUCCCAUCUCCAGAGCUAAACGGCGACUUCGGUUGUGCGGCGGAUCUUUCAUCUUCUUCCUUACGAUAACCGAUCUAUCAUCUUUAAACGCUUCAUUAAUCGAUCACCCACGACCUAGAUUCAAUGCGAUUUUUUUUGUUAUGCAAGGCGGUGGAGUUGGACUAUAAAAAAGCCAUAAUUCGUUCUUAUCAAGCCGACUGCUCGGUCUCGGCUACUCCCUCCUCAUGGACGGAACCUUCCUCAUGCUUCACUCCAAGCUGUUUGAUCAAGGAAGCCUUAUUGUGUUUGGCUGGAGACGUCGGAGAAAAAGGCCAUCGGAAGAAUGUUCUCGCCGGAUAAGGAGAAACACUGGAAGGAAGCUCUGAAGGACUUAUCAGUCCAUGGCUGUCAAGAAACUCCUCACGUUCCUGAACUGGAUUUAACCCAUACCCAAAGCCAAUGAAAUGGAGUCUGGAAUCAUGUGGAGCCAUCGGAGAAACAGAGUUCUUCUGUUUGUGUCUUUAGAAUCUUGGAGAGAUUGAGCUUAGGACAUGUAGAAGUAUAUUAUUGAUAAAGAAAAACAACGCACUGAACAUUUUUCCUGAGUGUUAAGGGAACUUCUCUGGAUGGGCAUGCUUUAAUAUUAAAUUUUCUGACGGUUGGGAAAGGUUCAGACAAUUAUCAACAAAAGUACGUGUGAAAAAUGUAGCUGUUGAGGCAACGGAGAAAGAACUAAGACAGUCAGUCCAUUUGGCAGAGUUGAAUAUAGACUAGCUAAUGGUCAUGUAGAGCCUUCUCCUGAAUUCUUCUAUGCUGGUUCUAUGUGGAAGAUUAGUAUUCAGGCGUUUAAUUAUGAAGAUACUCAAGGACACCGAACUAUUGGUUUGUUUCUUCACCAUCGUGAAGCAGAGAUAACAGACUCAAUAAGGACAAAACAUGAUGAUCCAUUUCAAAGAGGGUCUCAGUCUUCCAAAGAGGGCAGUAUACAGAGAAUUCUUACAAUGAAGAAGAUGUCUAAGAGAGGGUUCUCUCUGAGUGGUUGGAACGAGAACCUACGGAGAGACCGUGCAAGUUGCAACGCAAUCUCCCUUAGCUCCAACGGCCGUCUUGGGGGCAUUCGCUGAUGCGUAUGGCAACGAUGAAGACGGUGACACCGAUGACCAGACUUAGCCCGUCCACUGGGUGUUUCCUCUGUUCUUCCUACUCGACAUUGUUUCUUCUUUGGUCGUAUCAAGAACAAAACAUAGAUUUUUAUGAAUAAAUAGAUCAAAGACAAUAGAUUAAGAGUGAUAACCAAUAAACAGACAAACUCUGUAACCUGCAAAUCUUUUUGAAUUUAAGAAAAAGUUAAACCGUGGAAA